UCCACCUGCUGUGUGGGCAGCCACCCUGUGUUUCCAGAGUUUCCCAGAAGGCUGGCACCACCGGUGGGCAGAAAGCAGGUACACCUACCUGCCCAAGCUUUGUGUCCGUUUUCAUGGACUCUUUCACCUUUCAGCUUUCUAGACUUAAGGUCCGAAUUCCACUGGGGCACGUCUUAGAAAAACUGUCCAGCAGACUUCACUGGCGUGAAGCAGGGGACACCCAGGCCUGCGCAGCUUCCUCAGAAUUCAACAGAACAUGCACAAGUCUGAAGAAAGGAUGCCAACUAAGGGAACUAAUUCAGAGACUGGCUGCCCAGAGCACCAACCUUCUUACCUCCCACCUCCAACACACACGGAGCCUCUUCCAGGUCACCACACACACAGUGCUUUAAAAGGACUGCUUGAAGUUCUUGUUAUGACCGGAAACAAGCAAACACCUCAUGUCCUUGGCCACCCAGACUGUGUAACUUUGACCCAACAAGCACUGAAGCAGCACGGAUUAAACAGCUCAGGAUGUGGAAGUGGGACAUGCAGGCAAGGGGCUGUGAGGGGCCGGAGAACAGGAUUUGCCACCUGUCACCUCGCAGGCGGUGAAACUCUCACAGGAGAUGGCUCCUUGGAAGGCUUCUGCCCAGACGUGUGAAGAGGCCAAGGAUGUGAGGAGAAGCACCUCAGAGGAAACAGGUGAUAAGGAGGGGCACGUAGACGGUUCUGACCGGAGUGAAGCAGAAAGGCAGGGGAGAGGGAGACUUCUGGAACAAGAAGGAAAGAGCCCUGCCCUGCUGCAGCCUGGCCAGUGAUGGUGGUCCCCAUCCAGGACCUGCUGUGUGAAUGCAAGGCUGUCUCCCAGGAACAGGGGCAUAAGGGACCGAAGGUGGCAGGUGGUACCCAAUCCAUAAGGUUAAGCCACACGAAACUGUGUAUUGUAGGUAAAAAAUGGCCACAUCUGAGCAAUUUCUCUUUUUAUUUAAUCUAUGUCUUAUUUAUUUUAUAACUGGACAUUUGUACCUUUUGAUCCCCUUACCCUAUUUCCUCCAUCCCCCUAGCUCCCUCCUCUAUACUCUGGCA